AGAAAAGGAAGAGGUGGAGGAGCAAGAAGAGUCUUAGUACACUUCCCUAUGACAUAGUCUUUCUUGAACAGGUUUUCAGGAAGCACAAGUUGGAGCAGCCCCGCCAAAGAAAAUAAAAUCACUCUCUCAAGCAAACCAUCACUAUGUUUCAUGUCUGUAGAUAUAUGAACAUAUAAAUACAUAACAGAACAAAGACACCACUCUGUCCUACCUGUGGCCUUUAUAUAUAUAUUUGGUAUUCCAGUUGCUUGUUAAAAUGGGUCUUCUUAUAUCUGACUGAUGAUAUUUCAGUUGAUUGUUAUAUGUUGGAAUAGUAUUGUCCAUGUCGCAUUUUAGAUUGUAAGCUACUCAGGGCAGGAACCAUGUUUUUCUCCAUGUUUAUCUACUGCCAAACACAUUGCUGCCACUCAGCACAUAACUGCACUCACACAAGUGAUGUAUUCAGAGAAAAAUUCAGCACUGAAAACUGUAAAGAGGCUUCCUGUAUACAAGCUAUGUGAGUCACUUCUCCCUCAGCUGGCUUUUGAAAAUGAUUGAGAUUUCCAUUGUACAGCAGUUUAAAUAAAUGCAUUUUCUGUCAUAUC